rnacentral:rRNA from 1 species
AUUGAACGCUGGCGGCAGGCCUAACACAUGCAAGUCGAGCGGAGCGGCGGACGGGUGAGUGAUACCUAGGAAUCUGCCUGGUCGUGGGGGAUAGCGUCCGGAAACGGGCGCUAAUACCGCAUACUAUCAGAUGAACAUAGGUCGGAUUAGCUAGUUGGUGGGGUAACGGCCUACCUAGGCGACGAUCCGUACCUGGUCUGAGAGGAUGAUCAGUCACACUGGAACUGAGACACGGUCCAGACUCCUACGGGAGGCAGCAGUGGGGAAUAUUGCACAAUGGGCGCAAGCCUGAUGCAGCCAUGCCGCGUGUAUGAAGAAGGCCUUCGGGUUGUAAAGUACUUUCAGCGGGGAGGCGUUACCCGCAGAAGAAGCACCGGCUAACUCCGUGCCAGCCGCCGCGGUAAUUC